UACGUAGGAUGCAAGCGUUGUCCGGAUUUAUUGGGUUUAAAGGGUGCGUAGGCGGCCUAUUAAGUUAGUGGCGAAAACGUUCGGCUUAACCGGAUACCCACCAUUGAUACUGAUAGACUUGAGUGCGACAGAGGGUGUUGGAAUGUGUGGAGUAGCGGUGAAAUGCUUAGAUAUCACGCAGAAGACCAAUUGCGAAGGCAGAUGCCUAUGUCGUAACUGACGCUGGGACACGAAAGCGUGGGGAGGAAACGGG
rnacentral:rRNA from 1 species